rfam:Pseudomonadales bacterium RIFCSPLOWO2_02_FTLL_63_210 rifcsplowo2_02_scaffold_60123, whole genome shotgun sequence.
CCGGUUGUUCCAUCAACCGUUUCCUACCUGGACAUGCGGGGCCGGUAACAGCUCGGUGUGAAGCUUUGGGGACAAUGUACCCGCCGAUUUAUUCGGUACGCCUACCCGCGAGGGGAAGCGGAAUCUACCAGCACAAAGGUGGUGAGGGG